rnacentral:rRNA from 1 species
AACGAGCGCUGGCGGCAGGCUUAACACAUGCAAGUCGAGCGCCCCGCAAGGGGAGCGGCUGACGGGUGAGUAACGCGUGGGAAUCUACCCAUCUCUACGGAAUAACGCAUGGAAACGUGUGCUAAUACCGUAUACGUCCUUCGGGAGAAAGAUUUAUCGGAGAUGGAUGAGCCCGCGUUGGAUUAGCUAGUUGGUGGGGUAAAGGCCUACCAAGGCGACGAUCCAUAGCUGGUCUGAGAGGAUGAUCAGCCACACUGGGUCUGAGACACGGCCCAGACUCCUACGGGAGGCAGCAGUGGGGAAUAUUGGACAAUGGGCGCAAGCCUGAUCCAGCCAUGCCGCGUGAGUGAUGAAGGCCCUAGGGUUGUAAAGCUCUUUCACCGGUGAAGAUAAUGACGGUAACCGGAGAAGAAGCCCCGGCUAACUUCGUGCCAGCCGCCGCCGUAAAAC